UACGUAGGGGGCAAGCGUUGUCCGGAAUCAUUGGGCGUAAAGCGCGUGUAGGCGGCCCGAUAAGUCCGCUGUGAAAGUCCAGGGCUCAACCCUGGGAUGCCGGUGGAUACUGUCGGGCUCGAGUCCGGAAGAGGCGAGUGGAAUUCCUGGUGUAGCGGUGAAAUGCGCAGAUAUCAGGAGGAACACCAAUGGCGAAGGCAGCUCGCUGGGACGUGACUGACGCUGAGGAGCGAAAGCAUGGGGAGCGAACAGG
rnacentral:rRNA from 1 species